ACUAGGGUUUCAGUAUUUAGUCAGUUGUCUCUCAGAGCUGGGUAGUCUGUCAAUCUCAGAACUUUGCCGAUCUUUCGCGAGUGGGAGCUGGAUUCGUAGGAGAGCUGGUUUGCAUAUACGACCGAACGGAAUGUUAUUGCGGCCUGGAAGCUUGAUGAUGGUGCCAAGACUUGUGCAGUCUGGAGUUGGAUGGCGAUGAAGCUUCCGUUGAUCAAAGCCGUCAAGAACCUAAAUAUGAAGCCCGAGUUCUGUGAACUCAAACUUGGUUCAACUGGUGGAAGGAGGCAUUGAGAAGGAUCACUCGCGUCCUUCUCACGGCCACGGUCACAGUAGCUUUAAAUCAUAUGUCCACCAAGUAGAUGCUGCGAUCAUUACGCAUGUUCGGAUAGUGGUUACCUUUGAUCAGGGAGUUAAUCCACUCAACAUUUGACUCCGUUUCAGUAACCGGAAUUCAACACAAGCGCAUACAGUAAUACUCCCCGGGUGCAGGUUGAGGAAGGAUUUGAGUUUUAUGACGAAUCGAACCUUGAUGUCGCUAAAGAAGCUAUCAAGAAACAAUUCAGAGGCUGAAGUCAAAGACCUUGGAAUGUCUGGUGCUGCACUCUCCACCCAAGACAGUACGUUUUUCUUACUUUUUCUAACACUGUAGUAAGCUAUGCAGUAAUCAUUCUAAUGCAUAUGCAGUAAUCCUGGAAAUUUCGAGUAGUAUUUCUUCCUGCGUGGAAUGAAUAAUUGUCCGAUGAUGAGAUGCUUAACCACUCUGAAGUAAAAUGAUCUCACGGAGCUUCUUUCCCGGGUUUGUCGCAUUCUACUUUUAGAGUCGAUCCUUAGCACGGAUCCCUGUGAACCAGGGCCUCCUGUCCCCCGGAGGUCUACUCUAUUGCGUCAGACCUGGUAGGGAGUGUCUUUGAGGAUCUACUUAUGUGGAAUUCUCGGCCAAACUGAGGACUAAUAAUUGCCAUUUUAAAUCUUUUUGCUGCUCGAAUAUAAGAUUUAGAGCAGGUGGUCAUUAGGGUAACAGUUUGCCGUUCAGCACAAUGCUUCGAUUUGAAUGCAUGUGCACUUUGUCUACGAUAAUAUCUGCAGCGGUUGGUGAUGAAAAGGUCGAAGAACAAAACAUAUCACCUUGAUGUGUCUGGAGUUGACACGAAAGGGGAAGGUAGAUUCCUGGUUGGAGAUGUAAAGAUGUCAAUUACGCAGAUGUCCGGUGAUAAAAAGGAUGUGGCUGCUAACACAACCUCCGGUCGCACUAGCUGGGGGCGGAAUGUUGUUUCUGCUGAUGCAACUCUUCUGACUCCAGCCGCAGAUAAGAAUUCGAAUUUGCUCAAACAGUUUUAGGCGGAGGCUUAUGAAGUCUGUCAAGGAGAUGGGAAAGAGAAGGAAGAAGUUAAAACUACGACUCCGAGUAGCUUGUCCCUAAAACCUGUGGAGGAUAUCUUGUUUUGGAGCCUUUCUGUUGCGUUGAGAUCAUUUUUUUUCAUGUCUCAAUUUCGGCCUUGCUAUUUGUUAGUGAGAAAUUGCAAGGUGCAGAGAGAAAUGUCUGACAUGUUCCCCAGAUUCUAGUCCUUCGCCUUGUAUUUACUACCAGAUUUUUGGACUCAAUUUGUAACCCGUAAGUACUUUUCCAAGUAAUUUUGACAAUUCACGAGAUCUGGCUUUAUCGCACAAUU